rnacentral:tRNA from 1 species
GCACCAUUAGCUCAGCUGGCAGAGCACCUGACUCUUAAUCAGGGUGUCCUGGGUUCGAUCCCCAGAUGGUGCACCA